UCGGGAAUUUUGGGCAAUGGGCGAAAGCCUGACCCAGCAACGCCGCGUGAAGGAUGAAGUAUUUCGGUAUGUAAACUUCGUAAGAAUAGGAAGAAUAAAUGACGGUACUAUUUGUAAGGUCCGGCUAACUACGUGCCAGCAGCCGCGGUAAUACGUAGGGACCAAGCGUUGUUCGGAUUUACUGGGCGUAAAGGGCGCGUAGGCGGCGUGGUAAGUCAUCUGUGAAAUCUCCGAGCUUAACUCGGAACGGUCAGAUGAUACUGCUGUGCUAGAGUGCAGAAGGGGCAAUCGGAAUUCUUGGUGUAGCGGUGAAAUGCGUAGAUAUCAAGAGGAACACCUGAGGUGAAGACGGGUUGCUGGGCUGACACUGACGCUGAGGCGCGAAAGCCAGGGGAGCAAACGGGAUUAGAUACCCAUGUAGUCCCUGAGCGGGCUGGCAAGGCGCAU
rnacentral:rRNA from 1 species